GACGAACGCUGGCGGCGUGCCUAAUACAUGCAAGUUGAGCGCUGAAGGUUGGUACUUGUACCAACUGGAUGAGCAGCGAACGGGUGAGUAACGCGUGGGGAAUCUGCCUUUGAGCGGGGGACAACAUUUGGAAACGAAUGCUAAUACCGCAUAAAAACUUUAAACACAAGCUUUAAGUUUGAAAGAUGCAAUUGCAUCACCCAAAGAUGAUCCCGCGUUGUAUUAGCUAGUUGGUGAGGGAAAGGCCCACCAAGGCGAUGAUACCUAGCCGACCUGGGAGGGGGAUCGGCCACAUUGGGACUGGGAAACGGCCCAAACUCCUACGGGAGGCAGCAGGAGGGAAUCUUCGGCAAUGGACGAAAGUCUGACCGAGCAACGCCGCGGGAGUGGAGAAGGUUUUCGGAUCGGAAAACUCUGUUGGUAGAGAAGAACGUUGGUGGGAGUGGAAAGCGCAUCAAGUGACGGUAACUACCCAGAAAGGGACGGCUAACUACGUG
rnacentral:rRNA from 1 species